rnacentral:rRNA from 1 species
AACGAACGCUGGCGGCAGGCCUAAUACAUGCAAGUCGAACGCCGUAGCAAUACGGAGUGGCAGACGGGUGAGUAACACGUGGGAACAUACCCUUCGGUUCGGGAUAACUCAGGGAAACUUGAGCUAAUACCGGAUACGUCCGCGAGGAGAAAGAUUCAUCGCCGGAGGAUUGGCCCGCGUCUGAUUAGCUUGUUGGUGAGGUAAUGGCUCACCAAGGCGACGAUCAGUAGCNGGUCUGAGAGGAUGAUCAGCCACAUUGGGACUGAGACACGGCCCAAACUCCUACGGGAGGCAGCAGUGGGGAAUAUUGGACAAUGGGCGCAAGCCUGAUCCAGCCAUGCCGCGUGAGUGAUGAAGGCCCUAGGGUUGUAAAGCUCUUUUACCCGGGAAGAUAAUGACUGUACCGGGAGAAUAAGCCCCGGCUAACUUCGUGCCAGCCGCCGCCGUAAU